rnacentral:rRNA from 1 species
GACGAACGCUGGCGGCGUGCCUAAUACAUGCAAGUAGAACGCUGAAGAGAGGAGCUUGCUCUUCUUGGAUGAGUUGCGAACGGGUGAGUAACGCGUAGGUAACCUGCCUUGUAGCGGGGGAUAACUAUUGGAAACGAUAGCUAAUACCGCAUAACAAUGGAUGACACAUGUCAUUUAUUUGAAAGGAGCAAUUGCUCCACUACAAGAUGGACCUGCGUUGUAUUAGCUAGUAGGUGAGGUAAUGGCUCACCUAGGCGACGAUACAUAGCCGACCUGAGAGGGUGAUCGGCCACACUGGGACUGAGACACGGCCCAGACUCCUACGGGAGGCAGCAGUAGGGAAUCUUCGGCAAUGGGGGCAACCCUGACCGAGCAACGCCGCGUGAGUGAAGAAGGUUUUCGGAUCGUAAAGCUCUGUUGUAAGUCAAGAACGGGUGUGAGAGUGGAAAGUUCACACUGUGACGGUAGCUUACCAGAAAGGGACGGCUAACUACGUGCCAGCAGCCGCGGUAAUACGUAGGUCCCGAGCGUUGUCCGGAUUUAUUGGGCGUAAAGCGAGCGCAGGCGGUUUGAUAAGUCUGAAGUUAAGGCUGUGGCUCAACCAUAGUUCGCUUUGGAAACUGUCAAACUUGAGUGCAGAAGGGGAGAGUGGAAUUCCAUGUGUAGCGGUGAAAUGCGUAGAUAUAUGGAGGAACACCGGUGGCGAAAGCGGCUCUCUGGUCUGUAACUGACGCUGAGGCUCGAAAGCGUGGGGAGCGAACAGGAUUAGAUACCCUGGUAGUCCACGCCGUAAACGAUGAGUGCUAGGUGUUGGAUCCUUUCCGGGAUUCAGUGCCGCAGCUAACGCAUUAAGCACUCCGCCUGGGGAGUACGACCGCAAGGUUGAAACUCAAAGGAAUUGACGGGGGCCCGCACAAGCGGUGGAGCAUGUGGUUUAAUUCGAAGCAACGCGAAGAACCUUACCAGGUCUUGACAUCCCGAUGCUAUUUCUAGAGAUAGAAAGUUACUUCGGUACAUCGGUGACAGGUGGUGCAUGGUUGUCGUCAGCUCGUGUCGUGAGAUGUUGGGUUAAGUCCCGCAACGAGCGCAACCCCUAUUGUUAGUUGCCAUCAUUCAGUUGGGCACUCUAGCGAGACUGCCGGUAAUAAACCGGAGGAAGGUGGGGAUGACGUCAAAUCAUCAUGCCCCUUAUGACCUGGGCUACACACGUGCUACAAUGGUUGGUACAACGAGUUGCGAGUCGGUGACGGCGAGCUAAUCUCUUAAAGCCAAUCUCAGUUCGGAUUGUAGGCUGCAACUCGCCUACAUGAAGUCGGAAUCGCUAGUAAUCGCGGAUCAGCACGCCGCGGUGAAUACGUUCCCGGGCCU